GACUCGAAAAUUGACGUUGUUAUUUUUUAGUCUAAUUUGAAAGAUCAUUGAAAACUGUAGCGUAACUUCUUUGAUAGAUUUUUGUUUUCUUGCUUCGUUUUGAAGAUAUUUCAUUUUGUAUGAUAUGCAGAGGACCAACUUUCUACGUCACAUAUGCAUAAUGAUUUAGCCCUGAAAGCUAGCUGUAUAUCUUUAAUACGACUAAACACAAUCAGUAGAAAACCUACAUGGGUGUUGUUGUGGACAAAUCUCG